ACUGCUCAGUAACACGUGGACAACCUACCCUUAGGUCGGGGAUAAAACCCGGGAAACUGGGUAUAAUACCCGAUAGAUCUCGACUGCUGGAAUGCAUCGAGAUCGAAAGCUCCGGCGCCUAAGGAUGGGUCUGCGGCCUAUCAGGUAGUAGUGGGUGUAGCGUACCUACUAGCCUACGACGGGUACGGGUUGUGAGAGCAAGAGCCCGGAGAUGGAUUCUGAGACACGAAUCCAGGCCCUACGGGGUGCAGCAGGCGCGAAAACUUUACAAUGCUGGAAACAGCGAUAAGGGAACCUCGAGUGCCAGGUUACAAAUCUGGCUGUCGUGAUGCCUAAAAAGCAUUGCAUAGCAAGGGCCGGGCAAGACCGGUGCCAGCCGCCGCGGUAACACCGGCGGCUCGAGUGGUAACCGUUAUUAUUGGGUCUAAAGGGUCUGUAGCCGGCCGGAUAAGUCUCUUGGGAAAUCUGGCAGCUUAACUGUCAGGCUUUCAGGAGAUACUGUCUGGCUCGAGGCCGGGAGAGGUGAGAGGUACUUCAGGGGUAGGGGUGAAAUCUUGUAAUCCUUGAAGGACCACCAGUGGCGAAGGCGUCUCACCAGAACGGAUCUGACGGCAAGGGACGAAAGCUAGGGGCACGAACCGGAUUAGAUACCCGGGUAGCCCUAGCCGUAAACGAUACUCGCUAGGUGUCGGCCACGGUGCGACCGCUGUCGGUGCCGUAGGGAAGCCGUGAAGCGAGCCACCUGGGAAGUACGGCCGCAAGGCUGAAACUUAAAGGAAUUGGCGGGGGAGCA
rnacentral:rRNA from 1 species